CUGACCCCAUGCCGAACUCAGCAGUGAAACGCCGUAGCGCCGAUGGUAGUGUGGGGUCUCCCCAUGUGAGAGUAGGGAACUGCCAGGC
rnacentral:rRNA from 1 species